rnacentral:rRNA from 1 species
GACGUAGGGCGCGAGCGUUGUCCGGAUUUAUUGGGCGUAAAGAGCUCGUAGGCGGCUUGUCGCGUCGCUACUGAAAACCCGCGCUCAACUGCGGGCUUGCAGCCUGAUACGGGCAGGCUUGAGUUCGGUAGGGGAGACUGGAAUUCCUGGUGUAGCGGUGAAAUGCGCAGAUAUCAGGAGGAACACCGGUGGCGAAGGCGGGUCUCUGGGCCGGUACUGACGCUGGAGGUGCGAAAGCGUGGGGAGCAAACAGG